rnacentral:rRNA from 1 species
UACCAGCUCUCCGAGUGGUAGGGAUGAUAUUGGGCUUAAAGCGUCCGUAGCCGGCUUAGCAAGUCUCCUGUUAAAUUCAGCGACCUAAUCGUUGAGCCGCGGGAGAUACUACUAGGCUAGGAGGCGGGAGAGGUCAACGGUACUUCCGGGGUAGGGGUGAAAUCCUAUAAUCCCGGGAGGACCACCAGUGGCGAAGGCUGUUGACUAGAACGCGCUCGACGGUGAGGGACGAAAGCUGGGGGAGCGAACCGGAUUAGAUACCCGGGUAGUCCCAGCUGUAAACGAUGCGAGCUAGGUGUUGGGGUGGCUACGUGCCACUUCAGUGCCGCAGGGAAGCCAUUAAGCUCGCCGCCUGGGGAGUACGGCCGCAAGGCUGAAACUUAAGGAAUUGGCGGGGAGCACCACAAGGCGUGAAGCUUGCGGUUC